rnacentral:rRNA from 1 species
GCACAGCUCAAAUUUGAAAUCUGGCCCUCGGGUCCGAAUUGUAAUUUGUAGAGGAUACUUUUGGCGAGGUGCCUUCCGAGUUCCCUGGAACGGGACGCCAUAGAGGGUGAGAGCCCCGUCUGGUCGGAUACCAAGCCUCUGUAAAGUUCCUUCGACGAGUCGAGUAGUUUGGGAAUGCUGCUCAAAAUGGGAGGUAUAUGUCUUCUAAAGCUAAAUAUUGGCCAGAGACCGAUAGCGCACAAGUAGAGUGAUCGAAAGAUGAAAAGCACUUUGAAAAGAGGGUUAAAAAGUACGUGAAAUUGUUGAAAGGGAAGCGCCUAUGACCAGACUUGGGCCCGGUGAAUCAUCCAGCGUUCUCGCUGGUGCACUUUGCCGGGCACAGGCCAGCAUCAGUUUGGCGCGGGGGAUAAAGGCUUUGGGAAUGUGGCUCCCUCGGGAGUGUUAUAGCCCAUUGCGUAAUACCCUGCGCCGGACUGAGGUACGCGCAUUGCAAGGAUGCUGGCGUAAUGGUCAUCAGCGACCCG